AGCCAGAGUGAUGUCCACGGAAGGACAGUGGGCCGCGUGGGGUGCUGCGGCGGUCUUGGCAGGACAAGGGCGGACCCCGUGGUGCGUGAAAAGCCGUCCGGGGGUGCUCUGCCUGUUCCGAGCCCCCGGCCUCUCGGGAGCCGUCCCUGGGUAGCUGAGAGGCCUGGCUCCCUUUUAAUUUGUAACAGAAGACUUUUCACCCCGUUGGUGCACUUCUCUGGGGCCGUCCGGGUAAGCCUCCAGACGGCCAAGCGGUUUACCAGACUGAAGCCCAGGGGAAAGAUUUAGGAGUCAUCACCUUAGAGAUGAUGUGUAUCACCGUGAAAUCACCACGAGACCUUCUAAGAAGUGGGUUUCGUAGAGAACUUGAGACGUCAAAGGACUGAACCCUUGAGUAAUGUAACUUAGGAUGUGUUCUGGGGAAGGGGAACACUCUGGCUCCCUCUGGAGGAACAGCUCUCAACCUUCUCUUCAUAACCCAUGUGACAGAUGACACUCACCGGCAGGACACACUCUCAAAGCACAGUACCUUGAAAAGUGCAGUAGUGCAGUACAACAGCUGGCAUCCAGGGACUGGCAUCGAGGAAACAGGCGAGAAGAGUUACUGACUGGAGGAGGGAGAGGAGUGGGA